CGCUGGCGGCGUGCUUAAACAUGCAAGUCGAGUGCGCAGUUUCCUGUAGCAAUACAGGGGAUGGGCGCACGGCGCACGGGUGAGUAACACGUGGGCAACCUGCCCUACAGAGGGGGAUACCCCCGCGAAAGCGGGACUAAUACCGCAUGAUAUUCCGGUGGCUUCGGCCGCUGGACUCAAAGUCCGCAAGGACGCUGUUGGAGGGGCCCGCGCCCGAUUAGCUUGUUGGUGAGGUAACGGCUCACCAAGGCUUUGAUCGGUAGCCGAUCUGAGAGGAUGAUCGGUCACACUGGAACUGAGACACGGUCCAGACUCCUACGGGAGGCAGCAGUGGGGAAUCUUGCGCAAUGGGCGAAAGCCUGACGCAGCGACGCCGCGUGGGGGAUGAAGCUUCUCGGAGUGUAAACCCCUUUCGACCCGGACGAAACUCCCGCAAGGGAUUGACGGUACGGGUAUAAGAAGCCCCGGCUAACUACGUGCCAGCAGCCGCGGUAAGACGUAGGGGGCCAGCGUUGCUCGGAAUUACUGGGCGUAAAGGGUUCGUAGGCGGUGUGGCAAGUCGGAAGUGAAAUCUCCAGGCUUAACUUGGAGGCUGCUCCCGAAACUG
rnacentral:rRNA from 1 species